AUGUGGCACUCACUAGUGUGAUGA
rnacentral:siRNA from 1 species